GGGGUGUAUAGCUCAGUGGUAGAGCAUUCGGCUGCAGACUGAGAGGUCUCCGGUUCAAACCCGAGUGUCCCCU
rnacentral:tRNA from 1 species